UACGUAGGGUGCGAGCGUUAAUCGGAAUUACUGGGCGUAAAGCGUGCGCAGGCGGUUCGUUGUGUCGGCGGUGAAAGCCCCGGGCUCAACCUGGGAAUGGCCGUUGAAACUGGCGAACUGGAGUGUGGCAGAGGGGGGUGGAAUUCCGCGUGUAGCAGUGAAAUGCGUAGAGAUGCGGAGGAACACCGAUGGCGAAGGCAGCCCCCUGGGUCAAGAUUGACGCUCAUGCACGAAAGCGUGGGGAGCAAACGGG
rnacentral:rRNA from 1 species